CGUCGGUCUGAUUAGCCAAGCAAGGGAAGUUUGCAACGUAAGCCCCUCGCGAUGAUUGUACACCCGCUAAGAAAAGUCAGCCAAACUUAAAAACUCUACGUCACUAUGGAGUCAACAUACAAAUAAUGAAUUGUUUCCUUUUGGUUGAGUCCAGCUCAGAGACACAGACGAUGUUGUGGUUCCAAUCACAUUGAGGUUGCCGACAACUCCGGGCUCUGUAGAGCAAAAUGGAGGAAAAGGGGAAAACACCCCUAAAUGUAGAUGUGACUGCAACUUGUACACAGCUGCGUACGUAACUAUAAAAGGGGACGGGAGAAAAGGACUUCCUUGUUCCCGAGAUGGACCCACUGAUAGCAACGUCACAAUUUUCCCAUCAAAAAUGAGUUCACGGGCAGAGAAGUCAUUUCGCACACACACAGACGAGAGUAAUCAUUCCAUGAUAAACUCAUGCAAAGCAAUGUACUUUUCCUGGGUCUUUAAUUGCCGGGUCUCGCUCUCCGAACUGUAGCUGCUAUCUCACCACCCACAUUGUAGUUAACAGGGCUUUUUGAUCUCAGAGGCCAUGUCGAUGCUGCCGUCUGAAAUCCUUUCAUGUGUAAUAAAUCACAUACAAAUUUCCCUGUUACGAAAUAAAUAGGGAUGUGACAGUCUAUUAUGAUGCUGUCUUUUUGCUUGUGUGGGUGCUGGAGGUGGCAUUCAAUGCAAAUAAACACAUUUGGAAGA